GAAGUGUGAACCAAGCGGCGGCGGAAGCCGUGUGAGACUUGGAGCGGAUGGCCGCAAGGCUGUCCCACA
rnacentral:ncRNA from 1 species